rnacentral:rRNA from 1 species
UACGUAGGGGGCAAGCGUUGUCCGGAAUCAUUGGGCGUAAAGAGCGUGUAGGCGGCUCGGUAAGUCUGCUGUGAAAGUCCAGGGCUCAACCCUGGGAUGCCGGUGGAUACUGUCGAGCUCGAGUCCGGAAGAGGCGAGUGGAAUUCCUGGUGUAGCGGUGAAAUGCGCAGAUAUCAGGAGGAACACCAAUGGCGAAGGCAGCUCGCUGGGACGUUACUGACGCUGAGACGCGAAAGCGUGGGGAGCAAACAGG